rnacentral:tRNA from 1 species
UCGGGGGUCGUCUAAAGGUAGGACGCGAGGCUCUGAACCUCGAAAUUGGGGUUCGAUUCCCUGUCCCCGAG